rnacentral:lncRNA from 11 species
GUUGUUGGCUUGAAAAUCACUUUGUUCUCCCUAACCUCAGGAACACCAAGACUUCUUUGUCACCCUGGAGCAGACAAGUUUGAUUUACAACAAUUUAAUUGGUUCACUCAACACAUUGACUGCGGGCCUCAUAAAAAAUGACCACCAAUGGUACAUCAGCUGGGAUAUGACUUCUUUUGAAGUGUGUCCAAUGCCAGGUAUGUGGCAGUUCCCAGCCACAUCCAGUUCACAUGCAAAGUCACAUAUAGGA